rnacentral:tRNA from 1 species
GCCCGGGUGGUGUAGGGGUAACACCGCGGCCUGUGGAGCCGCAGAGCCGGGUUCGAGAGGCUGGGCCCGAAAAUCCCGGCCCGGGCC